rnacentral:tRNA from 1 species
UCCCUGGUGGUUCAGUGGUUAGGACUCUGCACUUUCCCUGCUGAAGGCCCAGGUUCAAUCCCUGGUUAGGGAA